rnacentral:rRNA from 1 species
ACUCCGACCGGAGACGGAAGGAGUGCUUUUAUUAGAUCAAAACCAAUCGGUGGCGGGCUUGCUCGUCAUCGUACAACUUGGUGACUCUGAAUAACUUUAUGCUGAUCGCACGGUCUCGCACCGGCGACGCAUCUUUCAAAUGUCUGCCUUAUCAACUGUCGAUGGUAGGUUCUGCGCCUACCAUGGUUGUAACGGGUAACGGGGAAUCAGGGUUCGAUUCCGGAGAGGGAGCCUGAGAAACGGCUACCACAUCCAAGGAAGGCAGCAGGCGCGCAAAUUACCCACUCCCGGCACGGGGAGGUAGUGACGAAAAAUAACGAUACGGGACUCAUCCGAGGCCCCGUAAUCGGAAUGAGUACACUCUAAACCCUUUAACGAGGAUCAAUUGGAGGGCAAGUCUGGUGCCAGCAGCCGCGGUAAUUCCAGCUCCAAUAGCGUAUAUUAAAGUUGUUGCGGUUAAAAAGCUCGUAGUCGAAUCUGUGUCUUGCGCCGCCGGUUCAUCGUUCGCGGUGUUAACUGGCGUGUCGCAGGACGUCCUGCCGGUGGGCUUAGCUCGCAAGGGCGGCCCAACUCAAUCCUGCCGCGGUGCUCUUCACUGAGUGUCGAGGUGGGCCGGCACGUUUACUUUGAACAAAUUAGAGUGCUUAAAGCAGGCUAAAACUUCGCCUGAAUACUGUGUGCAUGGAAUAAUGGAAUAGGACCUCGGUUCUAUUUUGUUGGUUUUCGGAACCCCGAGGUAAUGAUUAAUAGGAACGGAUGGGGGCAUUCGUAUUGCGACGUUAGAGGUGAAAUUCUUGGAUCGUCGCAAGACGGACAGAAGCGAAAGCAUUUGCCAAAAACGCUUUCAUUGAUCAAGAACGAAAGUUAGAGGUUCGAAGGCGAUCAGAUACCGCCCUAGUUCUAACCAUAAACGAUGCCAGCUAGCGAUCCGUCGACGUUCCUCCGAUGACUCGACGGGCAGCUUCCGGGAAACCAAAGCUUUUGGGUUCCGGGGGAAGUAUGGUUGCAAAGCUGAAACUUAAAGGAAUUGACGGAAGGGCACCACCAGGAGUGGAGCCUGCGGCUUAAUUUGACUCAACACGGGAAACCUCACCAGGCCCGGACACCGGAAGGAUUGACAGAUUGAGAGCUCUUUCUUGAUUCGGUGGGUGGUGGUGCAUGGCCGUUCUUAGUUGGUGGAGCGAUUUGUCUGGUUAAUUCCGAUAACGAACGAGACUCUAGCCUGCUAACUAGGCGUAUUUUGACAUCGCAAAGGCCCGCCGGUAUCGGGGUUCGCUCCUUUAUCGUGCGCGGUUUUUACUGUCGGCGUACAAACAAUUCUUCUUAGAGGGACAGGCGGCUUCUAGCCGCACGAGAUUGAGCAAUAACAGGUCUGUGAUGCCCUUAGAUGUUCUGGGCCGCACGCGCGCUACACUGAAGGAAUCAGCGUGUCCUCCCUGGCCGAGUGGCCCGGGUAACCCGCUGAACCU